UAGCGUCCGAUCAACAACGAGUCCACGAUCUGUGGAGGGAAUGAAACAAGAAGAGACAGAGUUACACUUUAAAGAGGGGCGGAGUCUCRGGACUGCGAGGGAAAAACACCAGUCCCAAGGUGAAGGCAACAGUCAAGAGGAGAACAGGGAUGACUCCUAACCUGGAAGACAACGUUUUGGGGUUAAAACAAGAAUUGUACCUUUUCAGUGUUGUGUCUCAUUAAAGCCGGGUCAUUUUAUAACUGGUAUUAAAUGCCUCUAUAAACAUGUCAA